AUUGAACGCUGGCGGCAGGCUUAACACAUGCAAGUCGAGCGGAGAGAGGUAGCUUGCUACUGAUCUUAGCGGCGGACGGGUGAGUAAUGCUUAGGAAUCUGCCUAUUAGUGGGGGACAACAUUUCGAAAGGAAUGCUAAUACCGCAUACGUCCUACGGGAGAAAGCAGGGGAGCUUCGGACCUUGCGCUAAUAGAUGAGACAAAGUCGGAUUAGCUAGUUGGUGGGGUAAAGGCCUACCAAGGCGACGAUCUGUAGCGGGUCUGAGAGGAUGAUCCGCCACACUGGGACUGAGACACGGCCCAGACUCCUACGGGAGGCAGCAGUGGGGAAUAUUGGACAAUGGGCGGAAGCCUGAUCCAGCCAUGCCGCGUGUGUGAAGAAGGCCUUAUGGUUGUAAAGCACUUUAAGCGAGGAGGAGGCUACUUUAGUUAAUACCUAGAGAUAGUGGACGUUACUCGCAGAAUAAGCACCGGCUAACUCUGUGCCAGCAGCCGCCGUAA
rnacentral:rRNA from 1 species